CAUUGACACAGACUGUGGACGCCGGGGGGGUGCGGCAGGGACGGGCCGGCACCCCGCUCCCCACGGGGCGAAGCCGGCGGGGGCCGCUCCACAGGGAAACCCCCCUUCCCCCAACCUUCCCUCCUCCGCGGCUGCGGGCGGAGGCAGCGCGGCCCCGCGCAGCGCCCGUCGGAGCCGCGCUCGGCGGGAAUCCAGUCCGGGUUUUGGUGCCGGGGACCGGCGGCGGCGAGGAAAGGCGAGCGGGAGCGGACCCCGACAGCCGGGCCGGGCCAGGCAGGCCGGCGGAGGAGGAGGGCGGCGGCGGGAGCAGGUGGGCGAGCGGUGGGGCGGCCUCGCCCGCGGGCCCCCAUGGCCGCGGCGCGCCCGCCGCACACACCCACCGCCGCCCGCCGGUGAGCGCCGCCGCCGCCGCCCCUUGGGCUCGGCGCUGCCGCUGCCCGUAGCCGGGGCUGAGCGCGGCGGGAGGCGGGCCGGGCCGGGCCGUGCGGGCGGAGGCACCAUGCAGGCGCGGCGCUUGGCCAAGCGCUCCAGCAUGGGCAGCCGGCGGCUGAGCGCGGGGCCGGCGGCCGCGCAGGCGGAGGGGGGCCGGCCCCCCAAGCCCGAGAGCGCCUGGAGGCCGCCCCGGCGGGAGGGCUCCGCCGCGGCGUUGGAGGAGGAGGACGAAGACGAGGACGUGGUGGUGGAGGUGGAGGAAGAAGAGGAGGAGGAGGAGGGCGGCCUGGGGAGUCCCCCCCCGGCGCUGACCGGCCACGGCAAGGGCCCCCUCCGGGGGAGCCUGAAGGCAGCCAGCGUCAAGCGUGAAAUGACCUUCCCUGCAUUUCAACAGGAGGAUGUAAAAAGUGACAUCAGUCAAAAACUGCCAGACCAACAGUUUCUCCUGUUCACCACAAAGGAGGAAGAUUUAAAAACAGCAGAGACCAAAAAACCAAACAGAGCUCAUGAGUGUGAAAAGGAAAACACUCGCUCUGUUUGUCUUCUGGAACAGAAGCGCAAGGUUGUUUCUUCAAAUAUUGAUGUGCCUCCAGCAAGAAAAUCUUCAGAAGAACUGGACAUGGAUAAAGUAACAGCAGCCAUGGUACUCACCAGUUUAUCCACCAGCCCUUUGGUCCGCAGCCCUCCUGUCCGACCCAACGAAUCCCUAAAUGGAUCUUGGAAAGAAGGAGGAUUUGUGCCUUCUAGUACCAGCAGCAGUGGAUACUGGAGCUGGAACGCUCCCAGUGACCAGUCCAACCCAUCCACCCCAUCUCCACCUCUGUCAGCUGACAGCUUCAAAGCUUUUCGGACACCUUCCCAGCCAGACGAUGGUAUUGAUGAAGCUGAAACAAGCAACCUUCUCUUUGAUGAACCCAUUCCUAGGAAGAGAAAGAACUCCAUGAAGGUGAUGUUCAAAUGCCUGUGGAAAAACUGUGGGAAGGUGCUGAGCACAGCUGCAGGGAUCCAGAAACACAUACGGACCAUUCACCUUGGACGUGUAGGAGAGUCUGACUACAGCGACGGAGAGGAGGAUUUUUACUAUACAGAAAUCAGGCUCAACACGGACUCAGUAGCUGAUGGCUUAAGCAGUCUUUCCCCGGUCUCUCCAUCUUUAGCGUCUCCUCCUCCUUCCUUUCCCACCCAAGACGCAAUCCGUCCUGAAACUUCCUGUGCCAAAACCGAGACUAAAUUGAUGACACCUCUGAGCCGCUCAGCUCCUACCAACCUCUACCUCGUACACACGGACCAUGCUUACCAGGCCACUCCUCCGGUGAACAUUCCAGGGUCAGCAAAAUUCACUCCCAAUGGCAGUAGCUUUAGCAUCUCUUGGCAGUCGCCUCCAGUUACCUUCACCGGCAUUCCAGUCUCACCAACUCAUAAUCGUCCUGCAGGGAGUGGAGAGCAGAAACAGUCCCACACAGUUCUUUCAUCACCGCCUAGAGUAGCAUUUGGCUUGAGGAAGCCUAGAGGGGAGGGGAAAAAGUGUCGGAAGGUCUAUGGGAUGGAGAACAGAGAUAUGUGGUGCACUGCCUGCCGGUGGAAGAAGGCCUGCCAAAGGUUCAUCGACUAAGGAUUGAAAUUAUGCAGAGGAUUUGGGGAUGGGGGAGGACAACAGCAGACCCAGAUCGCUGCAGCUGCACUGUAUCACUUCCCACUUCCCCUCCAGUGAUGUGGUGUUGGGAGGGUUUUUUUGUUGGUUUUUUGGGGUGUUUGUUUGGUUUUUUUUUUAAAAAAAAAGCUUUGUAUUUCAAAGUGAAGCACUUCUAGCCAAGGAGAAGCACUAAUCAAAACCUGUGUGGAGCAAUAGAGAAAAAAAAAAAAAAAGCAAAACCAAGAACAUACAACAAAAUUCUGUCUUAUUAAGUAUGGAAACCAGAGCAGCUAUUAGUGUUUUCCUGUAAAAGAAAGGAAAAAGUUAAUUUUUUUGCUAACUCUGAGCUACUUGCUCCGUAGGAUCAUUUUUAACCAUUUCAGUCUCUGUGCUGUGAACGUCUGUAUUUGCUAAACUGAACAAUUUUUCCUUUCCUGAAACGAAGAUCUCUUUUUGAAAGCUUUCUAAUAAACACUUCUGAGUCGUAUAAGCUACAGUUUACUCAACAAAAGCUGUACUAAGACUGGAGACUGCAAAGUAAUUCUCCUGAUACAAAUGAUCAUGAUUAUAUUAUAUUUUUGGAAAGGGGGCCAGGGGAGGAGUUGGGAUUUUCUUUGGUUUGUUUAUAGGAGAAAAGCAAAGUCUGAGUUUGCAAGAAGGACAAGCAGCGCUCCUGGAAGGUUUUUAAACCAGGCACAGACCGGUGGAGUGGAACAAAGUAAUUUAAGUACCAAAUUGGAUUUUGAUCCUCUCGAGGAAGAAAAGCAGCAACGGAAAGUCACCAGCCGAUACAGUCGCAACAAGAAGUUGAGGGAAGAAAUCCAGCGAUGCUUGAUUGAAACCCGUAAGAAUAUAAUGGGGCUCCAGUAGCUUUUCUUACCGCUCCCCUGUUUCCGAGGGAGGAGGGAGCAGUUGGACCAGCACGUCUGUUGCUGCAGGAGGCCUAUAAAGAACUGGUAAAUGCAGCCACCAGGAUGAUAUGUAAAACCUAUUCAGGGACACGAUCCAGCCCAGCAGUUCUGCUCUUGCUCCCUUUUCUCUUAUUUGAGAGAGUGUUGUUAAGAUAAUGGUCUGCUCAGCUUUCCCCACCUCCCCCCCCCCCUUAAAGUUACUAAGAUUCAUUUGAUGCAAAAAAUUGGUGGAGAAAAAGAAAAUACCCCCUUUCCACAACAUCAUCUCAGAAAAAGAAGUAAAACAGCAAAGGAGCAACGUAUUUAUGCAGGCACUCCCCGAGUUACCGUGUCUCGUCCGUGGCCAGCGACAGCGAGAAGGCACGGCCGGCUGGACCUGCGUGAAGCGUUCACUUGUCGCUUUGUGCUUUGGACUCUGAAUACUUCACGUGGCACGAGCAUUUCGGCGCCCGCCGAGGUCCCUUUCGGCCUCCUGUCACACCCAGCACGAACAGAAAUGUCAGCAAAGCCUUUCCCGUGCUGGCAGAACCGAGCGGAAUCUGGAAUAACCUCUUCCACUUUUCAGUCUCUUGCUUCAGUGUUGCUUUAAGCUGCAUCGCUGUCCUCCUAACGUCCGAUUCAUCUCAGGCUUCUGCACCAGCCUCUCCAAAAGAGUCAGAUUUCUUUGUUUUCCCAAGGAAGAGCUGGCCUGAAUGCUUUGGUCAUUUAUCAUCAUCGAACGUGCCAUUCCCCCUAUUUUCAGUGUCUCUGUGGGAGGGUCUCUUCAACGUGAUCCACAGAACCCGAUGACUUGAAAAAAAGGUUGAGGGCAGGUCUUCAGUGGUUAUCGGCUGCCAUAUCUCCCACAGCGGUGACCAUGUGUAUCAGCAGAGGACCUGUCCCCAGGAGGGUUACGCAGAGGUAGCCGUAGGGAUGCUCGGUGCGGAAGGGGAGGCUCUCUGGAGCUGGCAGAUCUCCAUUACUUGGAUGUGGCCUGUUACAGCAACAGAAAGACACUACCACAUUUCUCUGCAAUCUGCAACUGUCCCGGGGGCCUGGUGUAGCUCCAGCUGCAGUCCCGCAAAUCAAAGCUCUGACUGCAACCGUCAGUCCUUUGCUGUCACUUACUAUCACAAAGUUAACUUUUUAAAAUGAGAAAGAGCUUCCAACUCUGGCACUAAUGGAAAUACUGAAUACUUUUAAUAUAUAUAUAUUUGGAAAGUAUUUGAAAAAAGUGUUUUGUCUUUUUUUAUACAACUUUUAGCCAAAUAGAAGUAUUCUGAUUAUUACUUCUGUGGAUACCUGUCCACUUGUAAAUAAACUCAUAUAUUCAGGUACAUGAACCUGAAGAAAAAAAUAAUAAAGACUGUUCACUGGCUAUGCGCUUUGCUAGCUGUUGAUUCCUUUGUACGUAAGAGGUAACUGUUCAAAUGUGGGGUGGGUUUUUUUUUUAUUUAAUUGUUGUUCCUCUAAAGAAAGAAGAAGAAAAAAACUUUUGACUUUGUUUUCUCUUUUCUGAGUUAAUACAAAGAUUUUCUAACUUUUUACUGCAGAAAUGGAUAAAUACCUGGUGCUAUGUGAAUUUGAGUCAAACUGGCCAUAGCAGACACACCAGUUAGAAUGCACUUUUCCUGUGGCACACAAUGUAUUUUCUCAGAAGGGACUUUCAAAGGACCAUCAUCUGUUUACAUUUCUUCUUGUUGCCCCAAAUAGUUUUGAAUAUUGAAAUAACUUCCAAAAAAUAGAGAAAGUCAUGAUCCAUUACUGAUGCGAAGAAUCCUUACAUUUAGGUAUCUAUGACAGGUUUGUACAAAUACCAUUUUAGAGAUAGUUGAAAUAUUGGGCUUUCAUACUUUGUAAUGCUUUGAUGUUACAAUAAAUAUGCUGUUGCUAUCUAGUCUAACCUCAUUGUAGACCUGUAACUUCCUGUUUAUGGUUAUGUCAUGAAUUGCACUGGCCAUUCAGCCAAAUACUGACUGUUCAGCUGAAAUAUUCCGACUGUUACGAUGUCCACAAAACAUUAAUUAAAUGCACUUGUAUCUGACUACCGUGGAGUAUGUCAAAUUAUUCAUGUAAUAAAACCCUUGUGUAUAA